UCCUGGCUUUUGAAGUGAGAAGAACAGAUGGUGUACAGAUAUAUUUGAAAACCAAGCAGAAAAUUCUGAAGAAGAUUGUUCAGCGUGAUAUGAAGCACUAUUGACGGACCUAUCAGCAAUCCAGUAAACAUCUGCAAAUUCUGCAAGAGGAAGCAUAAUCUGGGAUAUCCAGAAGACAGCAGUGAAUGGUG